UACGUAGGGUGCGAGCGUUGCCCGGAUUUAUUGGGCGUAAAGGGCGCGCAGGCGGCUACGCACGUCCGUUGUGAAAUCGCUCGGCUCAACUGGGCGGGGUCAGCGGAUACGGCGUAGCUGGAGCAAGCUAGGGGGCAAUGGAAUUCCCGGUGUAGUGGUGGAAUGCGUAGAUAUCGGGAGGAACACCAGUGGCGAAGGCGGUUGCCUGGAGCUUUGCUGACGCUGAGGCGCGAAAGCCAGGGGAGCAAACGGG
rnacentral:rRNA from 1 species